rnacentral:rRNA from 1 species
GAUGAACGCUGGCGGCGUGCCUAAUACAUGCGAGUCGAGCGAACAGACGAGGAGCUUGCUCCUUCGACGUUAGCGGCGGACGGGUGAGUAACACGUAGGUAACCUACCUAUAAGACUGGGAUAACUUCGGGAAACCGGAGCUAAUACCGGAUAAUAUUUCGAACCGCAUGGUUCGAUAGUGAAAGAUGGCUUUGCUAUCACUUAUAGAUGGACCUGCGCCGUAUUAGCUAGUUGGUAAGGUAACGGCUUACCAAGGCAACGAUACGUAGCCGACCUGAGAGGGUGAUCGGCCACACUGGAACUGAGACACGGUCCAGACGCCUACGGGAGGCAGCAGUAGGGAAUCUUCCGCAAUGGGCGAAAGCCUGACGGAGCAACGCCGCGUGAGUGAUGAAGGUCUUCGGAUCGUAAAACUCUGUUAUUAGGGAAGAACAAACGUGUAAGUAACUGUGCACGUCUUGACGGUACCUAAUCAGAAAGCCACGGCUAACUACGUG